rnacentral:tRNA from 1 species
GCAGUGGUGGUGCCGUGUUAGAAUUCUCACCUUCCAUGUGGGAGACCUGGGUUUGAUUCCCAGCCGAGGCA